rnacentral:rRNA from 1 species
UACGGGAGGCAGCAGGGGGAAUAUUGCACAAUGGGCGCAAGCCUGAUGCAGCCAUGCCGCGUGUAUGAAGAAGGCCUUCGGGUUGUAAAGUACUUUCAGUCGUGAGGAAGGUGUUAAGGUUAAUAACCUUAGCAAUUGACGUUAGCGACAGAAGAAGCACCGGCUAACUCCGUGCCAGCAGCCGCGGUAAUACGGAGGGUGCGAGCGUUAAUCGGAAUUACUGGGCGUAAAGGGCACGCAGGCGGUUAAUUAAGUUGGAUGUGAAAUCCCCGGGCUUAACCUGGGAAUGGCAUUCAAGACUGGUUAGCUAGAGUCUUGUAGAGGGGGUAGAAUUCCAUGUGUAGCGGUGAAAUGCGUAGAGAUGUGGAGGAAUACCGGUGGCGAAGGCGGCCCCUGGGACAAAGACUGACGCUCAUGUGCGAAAGCGUGGGGAGCAAACGAGGGAUUAGAUACC